UCCUCUCCUCCAACUCGGACCAUACGCUCCGAGCGAAGAACGGUUGCAAACUUCCCUCUCCUUUUGCUGGGCAUGACGCCAUCAAAAUAUGGAAGCAGCCGCAUUAAAGAUAGACACCAUCAAAGGCUCUCAUACAUGAACCUCUGCCAAAGGGGAUCUUUCAGUUUGUUGAUCAGCAUCCCAAUCUCAGCAGCCAAGAGAGAUCAAUCUUCAUACAGGCCUGGGUAAAGCCGCUCCUCUUCUGCUCUGUUGUGCAUCCGUCCAUUGAUACCAGUUCACCGACCAGGCUAAGGAUGCUCUAGGUUGCCAUCUUCCCCGAGAGCUCUACCUGAAGCCACGACAAUUGGACCCAAACCAGGGUCGAGUGAAUGGCUCCCUUUAAUGGGAAGAACCAGGGCCGUCAAUGCUCCAUUGCCAGUGCCUGUUCGGUG
rnacentral:lncRNA from 1 species